UUUUCUGAGUACUGUGCUCACUUUAGGAGUCCUUAAAGACUUGCAGCCAACCACAAGAGAUUUGGAGUGCUUUCCUCAUAGCGACACGUUUGAAUGUUGCAGUUAGCACCAGCGGUUUCAGGAGUAAAUAAAACCAUGGUGACGAUGGAGAUAAUUAAGAGAAGAAAAACUCUGCUGUGGUGUUUUCACAGCUUCAUACAUCUGUUCAUACUCAUCAGGGACGAGCCGAGAUUCCCAGACAAUCCCAUUUCCAGGAGGCAGGUGAGGCGUGAAUGUGAGUGCACGGGGGAGGACAAGGCUGGCAUUUGACUCUGCUGAGUAAGCAGAAGAUAUGCAGUUUGCCAGGGUCUAAGGGAGGGGUUUUAAGCGCCGUAGCCAGUGAGUGAAAGCAAAAGCAAGAACCAGUCUCCAUCCGAUAAACUGUGGACUGCUUGAUCUGCUUUCAUUGGAAGCGGCGAUGAUCCUCCACAGGAAGUGCAGGUCAAAGCCGCACUUCAGGGAGAGACCUGGAAAUAGAAACAAUGCAGAGGUGCACAAGAAGAUGAUCUUGAAGGGGAUCGACCUUCCCACGCCUCACACACAAUGUUCAGUGGAACAUCAAUGUUAAUCUGAUAUGACUCCACCUGUUACAC